GUCAAAUUGAUCAGUUAUAGAUAAUAUUGAUCAGUUAUACAUAAUAUUGAUCAGUUAUAGGUCAAAUUGAUCAGUUAUAGAUAAUAUUGAUCAAUUAUAGAUAAUAUUGAUCAGUUAUAGAUAAUAUUGAUCAGUUAUAGAUAAUAUUGAUCCAUUUUAUUAUUUUAUAAUAAGAAAUUGCACAGUGUGUGUGGACUCUAAACAGAGCCCACCGGGCACACACUGGUUGAAUCAAUGUUGUUUCCAUGUAAUUUCAAUGAAAUCGGGAGGGAAGGAAAGGAAGUGAAAGAGAGAGAGAGGGAAAGAGAGGGAGAGGCCCCUUUAUUUGUCUAUCUAUGUCAAGGUGUGUCCUUGAGUCCAUCUGUGGGCUGGGCUAUGAGCAGAAGGGGUGGAGGACAGGACAGGACGGCACUCAACUCUAAUGCGCAUGUUCAUGCUUGUAUGUGUGUGUCCUUGUGCCUGUGUGUGCGUGUGUGUGUGUUACGGUAUUUAUGCCAGCUUGUAAGAGCUUAGUUUGCACAUUAUUAAAGCACACCCAGCACAGUGUACUUAUCAGUUAUCAGAGCCCAUGGGUAAACUAAAUAGAUACGGUUGGCCUUAGGAGAAACUGAAUCGAGAAAUGUUUGCACAGAACCUGAAGUGUGGUUGGGUUGAUUUCAAGAAACCUGGCAGGACCAGCCCUAGUGUUCACACGCACGCACGCAC
rnacentral:lncRNA from 1 species